ACGAACGCUGGCGGCGUGCUUAACACAUGCAAGUCGAACGGAAGGGCCCUGCUUUUGUGGGGUGCUCGAGUGGCGAACGGGUGAGUAACACGUGAGUCACCUGCCCUUGACUUUGGGAUAACUUCAGGAAACUGGGGCUAAUACCGGAUAGGAGCUCCUGCUGCAUGGUGGGGGUUGGAAAGUUUCGGCGGUUGGGGAUGGACUCGCGGCUUAUCGGCUUGUUGGUGGGGUAGUGGCUUACCAAGGCUUUGACGGGUAGCCGGCCUGAGAGGGUGACCGGCCACAUUGGGACUGAGAUACGGCCCAGACUCCUACGGGAGGCAGCAGUGGGGAAUAUUGCACAAUGGGCGGAAGCCUGAUGCAGCAACGCCGCGUGCGGGAUGACGGCCUUCGGGUUGUAAACCGCUUUCGCCUGUGACGAAGCGUGAGUGACGGUAAUGGGUAAAGAAGCACCGGCUAACUACGUG
rnacentral:rRNA from 1 species